rnacentral:rRNA from 1 species
GAUGAACGCUGGCGGCGUGCCUAAUACAUGCAAGUCGAGCGAAUGGAUUAAGAGCUUGCUCUUAUGAAGUUAGCGGCGGACGGGUGAGUAACACGUGGGUAACCUGCCCAUAAGACUGGGAUAACUCCGGGAAACCGGGGCUAAUACCGGAUAACAUUUUGAACCGCAUGGUUCGAAAUUGAAAGGCGGCUUCGGCUGUCACUUAUGGAUGGACCCGCGUCGCAUUAGCUAGUUGGUGAGGUAACGGCUCACCAAGGCAACGAUGCGUAGCCGACCUGGGAGGGUGAUCGGCAACACUGGGACUGGGACACGGCCCAGACUCCUACGGGAGGCAGCAGUAGGGAAUCUUCCGCAAUGGACGAAAGUCUGACGGAGCAACGCCGCGUGAGUGAUGAAGGCUUUCGGGUCGUAAAACUCUGUUGUUAGGGAAGAACAAGUGCUAGUCGAAUAAGCUGGCACCUUGACGGUACCUAACCAGAAAGCCACGGCUAACUACGUGCCAGCCGCCGCGGUAA